rnacentral:rRNA from 1 species
GUCCUAGUUUACCAGCACGUUAUGGUGGGCACUCUAAGGAGACUGCCGGUGACAAACCGGAGGAAGGUGGGGAUGACGUCAAGUCAUCAUGGCCCUUACGGCCUGGGCUACACACGUGCUACAAUGGUCGGUACAAAGGGUUGCCAAGCCGCGAGGUGGAGCUAAUCCCAUAAAACCGAUCGUAGUCCGGAUCGCAGUCUGCAACUCGACUGCGUGAAGUCGGAAUCGCUAGUAAUCGUGAAUCAGAAUGUCACGGUGAAUACGUUCCCGGGCCUU